CUGGAACGUUAUGAUCUUCACUGAGCUUAUGCGACACCUGGAUUGCGAUUGCAGUCUUACCAAACCCAGGUCCGCCAUGGAGUGAGACAACUGCUUUUCCUUCGUCUUGCAAAAAACUAAUGACGUUUUGGAUCUCGGCUUCACGCGCAGUGAAUAUUGGCAAUUUAUCUGGUAAACAACUCGUUAGUUCUCGUUCCUCGUUCUGUCGUUCGUUCAUCUUAGCGAGAUCAUCACGAUAUUGCCCAUUGCUG